UGCUCCCUGGCCCAGCUGGUUAAGGCGCACGACUGUUACUAACGUAUUCAACUUUAGUUUCAUCGUGAGAUCGUGGGUUCGACUCCCCCGGGAGCAG